AUGGCGACAUAGAGCGGAACCCGAAAACCUAGUCUCAGUUCGGAUUGGAGUCUGCAACCCGACUCCAUGAAGCUGGAUUCGCUAGUAAUCGCGCAUCAGCCACGGCGCGGUGAAUACGUUCCCGGGCCUUGUACACACCGCCCGUCAAGCCAUGGAAGCCGGGAGUGCCUGAAGUGCGUGAGCGCAAGCAGCGCCCUAAGGUAAAACCGGUGACUGGGGCUAAGUCGUAACAAGGUACC
rnacentral:rRNA from 1 species